rnacentral:snoRNA from 1 species
GGUCCCCAAUGAUGUCAGCACUGGGCUCUGAACUCCUGUGAUGAAAUCAGUGCCUCCUGGGGACUUGACACCCUGAGGGGGUGCUGGGGGGC